AACGUAGGAGACAAACGUUUAUCCGGAGUUACUGGGCGUAAAGGGCGUGUAGGCGGUCUGUUAAGUCUGGCGUGAAAGCUCUCGGCUAAACCGGGAGAGGUCGUUGGAUACUGGCAGACUAGAGGACGGUAGAGGCGUGUGGAAUUCCGGGUGUAGUGGUGAAAUGCGUAGAGAUCCGGAGGAACACCAGUGGCGAAGGCAGUUCUCUGGGCCGUAACUGACGCUGAGACGCGAAAGCGUGGGGAGCAAACAGG
rnacentral:rRNA from 1 species